GCACCAGACUCCUACGGGAGGCAGCAGUGGGGAAUAUUGGGCAAUGGGCGCAAGCCUGACCCAGCAACGCCGCGUGAAGGAAGAAGGCUUUCGGGUUGUAAACUUCUCUUCUCAGGGACGAAGCAAGUGACGGUACCUGAGGAAUAAGCCACGGCUAACUACGUGCCAGCAGCCGCGGUAAUACGUAGGUGGCAAGCGUUAUCCGGAUUUACUGGGUGUAAAGGGAGCGUAGACGGCCAGACAAGUCUGAAGUGAAAAUCCAGCGCUUAACGCUGGAAGUGCUUUGGAAACUGCCGGGCUGGAGUGCAGGAGGGGCAGGCGGAAUUCCUGGUGUAGCGGUGAAAUGCGUAGAUAUCAGGAGGAACACCGGUGGCGAAGGCGGCCUGCUGGACUGCAACUGACGUUGAGGCCCGAAAGCGUGGGGAGCAAACAGGAUUAGAUACCCUAGUAGAC
rnacentral:rRNA from 1 species